GAUGAACGCUGACAGAAUGCUUAACACAUGCAAGUCAACUGUGGCGGACGGGUGAGUAACGCGUAAAGCACUUGCCUCACACCUAGGGACAACAUUUGGAAACGAAUGCUAAUACCUGAUACUGUGAGAGAGCUUUGCGUCCCAUUAGCUAGUUGGAGAGGUAACGGCUCACCAAGGCGAGGAUGGGUAGCCGGACUGGGAGGGUGAUCGGCCACAAGGGGACUGAGAGACGGCCAGUACUGCUACGGGAAGCAGGAGUGGGGAAUAUUGGACAACGGACCAAAGUAUGAUGAAGCAAUUCUGUUUGCACGAUGAAGUUUUCGGAAGGAAAAGGGCUUGGAUUUGGGAAGCGGUACAAACAGAAGAAGUGACGGCUAAAUACGUGCCAGCAGCCGCGGUAAUAC
rnacentral:rRNA from 1 species